UAGACUGAAGUGACUGGGGGACACUCACAGGCCCAGAGAGACGAGAAGAUGACGGCCUCCAGCAGUGACAUCCCGCGGGCCAGGCUGGCUCCCCAGGGACAAGGGCCUGGAUCCACAGGAUUGGAAAUCUUGUGCCCAAAAAGAAAUGCUUUUGUCUGGUAACAUGGUGAUGGUUCUUUGAACUUCAGUUUCUAUUGGCCAACAUUGGAUAGAAAUCGGAGCAAAGAUGUCCAUUAGUGGAAUCCACAGGGGUUAGUCUCAGCGGUCCCAGAGCAGGAUGGGGAGCAUCGAUCCUGGGGAUGAAACAGAAGAUUUUGGAGAAUCCACCUUUAUGGCCCUCAGCAUCCACACUUGUCCUUUGACUAGGAGAGAAAUGGGUUCCCCCAAAGAAGGGGACACACAGCGUCCUAAUUGAAAGUCUAUCUUCUCUGUCACCAGGUGAAGAUACAUGAGGUUGACUUCCAGCAACCUUCCAUGAAAGCUAGAAGACUACGUUUUCACACAAUAAAAGUACCAAUCGACUUGA